UACGUAGGUGGCAAGCGUUGUCCGGAUUUAUUGGGGCGUAAAGGGAGCGCAGGCGGUGACUUAAGUCUGAUGUGAAAGCCCACGGCUCAACCGUGGAAGGUCAUUGGAAACUGGGUCACUUGAAUACAGAAGAGGAAAGUGGAAUUCCAUGUGUAGCGGUGAAAUGCGUAGAUAUAUGGAGGAACACCAGUGGCGAAGGCGACUUUCUGGUCUGUUAUUGACGCUGAGGCUCGAAAGCAUGGGUAGCAAACAGGAUUAGAUACCCCGGUAGU
rnacentral:rRNA from 1 species